UAGAUUGAAGCCAGUUGUUUUGGGCUAUUAGCUGUUAACUAAUUUUUUAUGGGUUAAAAUCCCAUCGGUCUAG
rnacentral:tRNA from 1 species